UAUUCUAUACAUACACAUAUGUAGUAUUUUUUUAAAACAAAAUUUUCUUAUCAAAAAAUGUGGGAUUUAUGGCAAUUUUAAAGUGGAGAAGAGGGUAUAUUGUCAUGGAUGUGGUAUAAUUUAAAUGCCUAGUUUGCAAAUAUUUUUCCCAUUUCAUUUUCUCUUCACUUUAUUUAUUCUUUCUUUCGCUGUGCAGAGGCUUCUUAGGUUGAUAUAAUCCCAUUUGCCUAUUUUUGCUCUUAUUGCCUAUGUCUUAAGGGUCUUAACCAAAACAUCUUUGCCUACACCAAUGUCUUUCAGAAUUUCCUCUGUUUACCUCUAGUUGUUUGAUAGUUUCAGGUCUUAAGUUUAGAUCUUUGAUCCAUUUUGAGUUGAGUUUUGGAUUUUAUUUUUUUUUAACUUUUAUUUAAUGAAUAUAAAUUUCCAAAGUACAGCUUAUGGAUUACAAUGGCUUCCCCCCCAUAAUGUCCCUCCCACCAGCAUCCCUCCCCUUUCCCACUCCCUCUCCCCUUCCAUUCACAUCAAGAUUCAUUUUCAAUUCUCUUUAUAUACAGAAGAUCAGUUUAGCAUACAUUAAGUAAAGAUUUCAACAGUUUGCUCCCACACAGAAACAUAAAGUGAAAAAUACUGUUUGAGUACUAGUUAUAGCAUUAAAUCUCAAUGUACAGCACACUAAGGACAAAGAUCCUACAUGAGGAGUAAGUGCACAGUGACUCCUGUUGUUGACUUAACAAAUUGACACUCUUGUUUAUGGCCUCAGUAAUCACUCUAGGCUCUUGUUAUGAGCUGCCAGGCUAUGGAAGCCCCCUGAGUUCACUGACUCUGAUCAUAUUUAGACAAGGCCAUGGUCAAAGUGGAAGUUCUCUCCUCCCUUCAGAGAAAGGUACCUCCUUCUUUGAUGACCCAUUCUGUCCACUGGGAUCUCACUCGUGGAGAUGUUUCAUUUAGGUUUUUUUUUUCUUGCCAGAUUAUCUUGGCUUUCCAUGCCUGAAAUACUCUCAUGGGCAUUUCAGCCGGAUCCGCAUGCCUUAAGGGCUGAUUAUGAAGCCAGAGUGCUGUUAGGACAUUUGCCAUUCUAUGGGUCUGCUGUGUAUCUCACUUCUCUCCCUUUUUUAUUCUAUCAGCUAGUAUUUGCAGACACUAGUCUUGUUUAUGUGCUCCCUUUGGCUCUUAGUCCUAUCAUUAUGAUCAAUUGUGAACAGAAAUUGAUCACUGGGACUAGUGAGAUGGCAUUGGUACAUGCCACCUCGAUGGGAUUGAAUUCGAAUCCCCUGGUAUGUUUCUAACUCUACCGUUUGAAGUAAGUCAGCUUGAGCAUGUCCCGAAUUGCACAUCUCUUCCCUCUCUUAUUCCCACUCUUAUAUUUAACAGCGAUCACUUUUCAGUUAAGUUUCAGCACUUAUGAAGAAUUGUGUAUUGAUUACAGUAUUCAACCAAAAGUAUUAAGUAGAACAAACAAACAAAAAUACUAAGAGGGAUAACAUAUUAAGCUGCUCAUCAACAGUCAGGGUGAGGGCUGAUCAAGUCACCGUUUCUCAUAGUGUUCAUUUCACUUUAACAGGUUUCCUUUUUGGUGCUCAGUUAGUUGUCACCUAUCAAGGAGAACAAGUGGUAUUUGUCCCUUUGGGAUUGGCUUAUUUCACUCAACAUAAUGUUUUCCAAAUUCCUAACAGGGAUCAAUUUUCAGUUAAAAUUUAAACACCUAAGAAUAAUUGUGUGUUAAUUACAGAGUUCAACCAAUUGUACUAGAACAAAAAAAAAAUACUAAAAUGGACAAAGUAUUACAUUGUAUAUCAACCUUCAGGACAAGAGCUGAUCAAGUCACUGUUUUAGUUGACUUUUAGUCAACUUUUAUAUAGUUGACUUUUAGGUAUAAGGUCAUGGCUCUUGUUAUGAACUUCUACAUGUGGAAAUUCAGUUUUCCCUGCAUUGUUUGUUGAUGAGACUGUCCUUUCUCUAUGGAAUGAUUACCUGGCAAGGCUGACUUCAUCAAAAUACUGAGAAAAUAAGCUGGAUGUUAUCAUGAUUCCAUUAUCGUCUCUUUCCCCCACAAACACAUAGUAGAGGGGAUAAGACUUCAUUUUCCUGCCAUACCUCACUUGAACUCAAAUGCCCAUAGACAGCUUAGUUGUGGUCUGUAGUACAAACUUUCUAUUCACUUCAAAUAUGUUUUGCCCUGGUAGUUGUCUGAUUGAUAUCCUUUCUCACUUCCUCCUUGUUAUGAAAAUCUCAACACAAUCUGGAGGUGACCAUAUACCAACUAAUCCCCUUGUGAUUCAGUUCUGUAAAUGCACUAACUUUUGAUCAGAGAAAUGAAAGCCAUCUGUUGAAGACAGAUGAAUAGAACAACAGCAGAAGCCUGAUUCUCUGAUGGCUUUGUGAAUUUUGACCUCUUGUUUCAUGAAUGACAGUCUGGUUAAGUUAUUGUUGUUAAGUUUCUGUUACAUUCAGGUAUGCACACAUAACAGAAUUUGAUUUUACAUAGGAGUCAAAAUGUUAUGUAAGUCAGACAUUGAAAGACAAAUAUCAUGCAUUCUCUUUCAUAUAUGAAGGCUUUAAAAAAGCAGAUUUGAAUGUAGAACAGUGUUUACUAGGGACUGGGAAGUAGAGGGAAGUCAGAGAACGAGCACUGGAACACGGAACACAGAUAGAAAGGAUCAGGUCUGUGGUUCUACACACUGUGGGACAACCACAGUUUAAAAUGGGCUAUUCCAUAUUUUAUGAGUAAACAGAAGAGAGAACCUCGUUUUGAAACAUUACAUAGUGAUAAGGAGAUGGAAACAUUGGUUACUUUAAUUUGAUCAGUGUACAUGGUACAUGUGUAUUGGAAACACACUGUUCUAUAAAUUUGUAUAAUUAUUACAUGUUAAUCAAUAAUUUAAAAAUUGAGAUUGAAAUGCUCACUACUCUGAUUUGAUCAUUACACAUUACAUGCAUUUUCAAAUUAUCUACCGUAUCCUAUAAAUAUGUAUGUAUAAUUAAAAUAAUAAUUAUACUAAAGAAAAAAACAGAUUGUGGGAUAUACAUGGGGUGAAUGGGCUAGGUAAUAUUUGGGUGGUGAGUAACCCAGACAUUGGAAAUUGGUGACCUUUUUUUAUGGACAUAUUUUAUUUUGUGUUAUCUUAGCCCUUUAUGCAUAUUGAAUGGACAGUUUUUAAUUGAAAUUUAUUCAAUUCACUUAAUUUACAUUUAUUUUAAUUAACUUUUAAAAAUUAUACAUAUUAAUGGAAUACCAUCUCAUAUUUUGAUGCAUGCAUAUGAGGAAAUUUUCAGUAAGUUCAUGGACAAUGUGUGUUAUUAAAAUGUCCUCAGGCACAGGUCGAAGCCUGGCCGUACUAGCCAUGCCGAACCGCAGGGCCAGCCUUAAUGCCUACUACUUCUUUGUGCAGGAGAAGAUCCCCGAACUGCACCGGCAAGGUCUGCCCGUGGCUCGUGUGCCGGACGAAAAAAAAAUGUCCUCAGGUUAAAAGAGAACAUUUAGGUAAGAUUUUAGCCACACACAGCAUACAAUUUACUAUAUUUUACAUAAAACCAGAAUUGACUAUGUCUAACUCUUGUGGCUAUACCUGAGCUUCUGAAUUCAGCCAGUAAGAAGAAAAUUAUGAGAGCUCUGAAGCCCAGAGAAUGGAGUGAAGUAAUUUUUUUUUUUCUGAUUCCUGUCUUAAACAUCAUAUUGGAGUUUGAUAGACUAGAAGUAUCCUGCUCAGAGUUUAGAACCAGCACAACGGAAUGGAAUCUUGUUGGAUUAACUAAGCACAUACUAGAAUCUUCCUUAUCCCUGUCUAAUAGGGCUAUCUUUUUUACUAAGGGUGAGGGUACUUGUUGUUAUCUGAUUACUUCCACCAUUGCACAGUAUGAUAUGUAGGAAACAGAAGCUAGUCUGUUAAUCAUAUAGAUCAGGAGACACAAGGAGACGCAUCCUAUUCAGAUGGAGAGGAAUACACAUCAUCCAGAGAUCUGGAAUUUGGAUAGGAUUAAUCAAAGGAAUGAGACUUUAGGAUCAUCUCUUUUGGCAGGGUAUGUGUUUAUUUAGAGACAGACUAUGUCAGACAUCACUACUUUUUAACCCAACAUUUAGAUUUUUAUUUCUUGCCAAAACUUCCCUAAGUUUUGGAGAUAGUGAAAGAUCAGUUUAAAAUGGAAAAUUUGCCCCUUCAGGUGCGCUUGCAGUUGCGUAUGACCCUAUAUCCCUUUAAAGCCUCUAAGAUGGGUUAACUGGGUGGAGAUUCCCAGAGAGCUGUUAUUUUCUUCAGAAAAAUGAGCACCCUGGUUGUCACACACAUUUCACUUUCCACCCAUAUCCUGAAAGCCCCUCCUGGAACACAAGUGCAACCACUUGUCAGGUUAGAAAUACAAACUCCUAAAUGAUUAAGAAAUUUAUGUCAGCCUUCUUUUAUGUGGCAGUUAAAGUUUAUUAUCCUGAGAGAAGCAUAUUAUAGAUAUUCAAACAAAACACAAUUCUAGACACCAGGAAAAUUUAAAUACCUCUUAGCAAUGUAAUUUUUAGGGAAUAAUGAAACAGUAGAAAAUAAAACAAAAACAAUACAUAGCCCCUGCAACUAAUAUCCCUGUUGAGAUGUUCUAAAUAGCCACAGGUUGCUAUAAAAGGAUUUGAGUAAGAUAUCCUUCAAGAAUAGGAUUGAAGUCUCCACAUUUUGCCUGGUCACACAACCACUCUCCUAUUUGCUGAGUCCUGCCCAGAAGUCAUGUCUUCCAAGGCAGAGAAAGGAAAUGGCCUCGAGGCUGCAGUUCAGAGCCAUUACAAAUCGACUGGUCUUCCCUCAUUACCCAGUAUGUGGGGCAUGUCUGCAUUGGAUCCAAAGGCCAGAGAAGGGGCUUUCUUUCUGGAGGGAGCAAACCAGAUAGCCAUACAAAUCAGAUAGCAUUAUCAGCACAAUUUGAAAAAGAAUAUGCCUGCAUUCUUGUUUUUAGAAGCCCAAAGGCUUAACAUACAGCAGACUCAGCCUACAAUUCUAGAUCUCAUCCUAAUCUUUUUAAGCAUUUUCUAGGAGUACAUGGCGGAUAACAAAUUGUGAUGACUGAUCUUCUGGUGUAAACAAAACAUUUUGGGUAGUACCAUUGUUAGAAAAUCUCUAAAGGGCUUUUUCUAUGGGGCAAGCUACAAACCACUGCUUUCUGCAAACCUAUAAAAGUCAAGUUCUGGCAUCUAUGACGAAUGACAGGAUGGGAACUCUCAUAGAAAAAGUGCUCUCACUCAUGAAAUGCUUCCAUAGAAACUGAUAGGAACCAGUGUAACUGGCUGGAGUUGUGGCUGGCAAUUCUUGCUUUUCAAAGGGUACCCUAGAAAACAAGUACAGAUUCAAGUACAGGCAAAUCAAAUUUCACAGAUGAGGAUGCUUAUAUAGUUUGCUGAAAUGGGCCUUCAGCAAACCAUUGCUCUCCUCACUUCCCUAGAUGGGACGGCUGUGUGGAGGCUGAUGUGAUGUCACACACUCAUGUUCUUACACUUCUCUUAAUACUGUUUGAUUUCUGAUUGCAGGACAAAUGAAAGCAUGGUUAUUCUGACAGCUCCCUCACUUUUAUUUACUACAUUAAAAAGAUGUAUCAUAUAUGCUUCUAUGAUUCUUAAUUUGUAUUCAAAUAAAUUUGGCAUUUUCUGUAAAAAUAAAGUAUUAUGAAACACAAUCUGGAUUGGCACUGAAACUUGGAGGUGUGGUAAGGGCUAAGAGUCAAAAUCUUUCACAUGUUAGAGUGCCUAGAUGAUGUAAACAACACACAGCUCCUCUAGCUUUUCAGGCUACAUGAAAACCAAUCACUGUGAUGGGUCUGCAAAUCUAUCUCAUCUAUUAAAUGAUAGGAGAUAUUCUGUUCAACAAAUCAAGGAAAAGUUCCAUUCACUAGGUUGAAUUUAUACAAAUUAUGUAAAUUAAGUAAAACUUAAGUUUUACUUGAGAAGAAUGUGAGAAAUAAGAGGAAUGGACUUCUAUCUACUUGGCUAUUUCUUGUCCAUUAAAGGAGUUCUUUUCUUUUUUCUUUUUUCUUUUUUUUUUUUUUUGACAGGCAUAGUUAGACAAUGAGAGAGAGAGAGAGAGAGAGAGAGAGAGAGAGAGAGAAAGGUCUUCCUUCUGUUGGUUCACCCCUAAAAUGGCCACCAUGGCUGGAGCUACCACAAUCCAAAGCCCGGAGCUAGGUGCUUCCUCCUGGUCUCCCAUGCGGGUGCAGGGACCCAAGCACUUGGGCCAUUCUCUACUGCCUUCCCAGGCCACAGCAGAGAGCUGGACUGGAAGAGGAGCAACUGGGAAAGAAUCCAGCACUCCAACUGGGACUAGAUUCCGGAGUACCAGUGCCGCAGGCGAAAGAUUGGCCUAGUGAGCUGCAGUGCCAGCCCAUUAAAAGAGUUCUAAGAUUCUUCAACAUAUAUCAGUGUUCCAAAAAUUAUGAUUUAUAAACUACUGAUUUAACUAUACUCCCAUUUUACUGAGGCAGCAGCUGAGGUACACAGAUACCCAACAUUUUGUGUGUGCCUGUAACUAUUUCAGGUGCAUGUUGUCUGUCAGUAAAAACACUGUGCGCUUUUAAGAACCAUAUGGUGCCGGCGCCGUGGCUCACUAGGCUAAUCCUCUGCCUGCAGCACUGGCACAAUGGGUUCUAGUCCCGGUCGGGGUGCCGGAUUCUGUCCCGGUUGCCCCUCUUCCAGACCAGCUCUCUGCUGUGGCCAGGGAGUGCAGUGGAGGAUGGCCCAAGUGCUUGGGCCCUACACCCCAUGGGAGACCAGGAAAGUAUCUGGCUCCUGCCAUGGGAUCAGCACGGUGCGCCGGCCGCAGCGGCGGCCAUUAGAGGGUGAACUAGCAGCAAAGGAAGACCUUUCUCUCUGUCUCUCUCUCUCUCUCACUGUCCACUCUGCCUGUCAAAAAAAUAAAUAAAUAAAAGAAAAAAAAAGAACCAUAUGGCCUUAUUAGCAAGUGCUUUUGUUUGGGCAGUGAAAAGCCCUGAAGAGGGACAAAGAGAAUUAAUUAAUUUGUUAGAAGCAGCUCAUCAGGAAAGAAGGAGGCAUUAUUUGGGACUGGGAAGGGGUUUGGGGCUUUAGGGUUUUUGAGCAGAAAUGGUAUGAUGCCAUGGUAUACUGGGAUAUGGAACAUCAGCAUGGAUCUCUGGUAGCCAGCAUUGUGACACCACUCUUGUGUCAGUCCAGAGCAUCAGGACCUGAUAGAUAGUGGAACAAGCUGGGAACAGAAUGCCCAAAGGACAGAAAGGGCACUCAUGAUGCCAAGACUUAAGAACUGGAGCCCUUUCUAUUUCAUCUAAAUGCCUGGGCGCAUAUAUAAGCUAAGAGGUGAUAACACCCAAAAUGACAGAGAUAAAACUUUCUUCAAUCAUGACUAGAGAGGUUUCAUGGAUGGAUUGAUUCAAACAAGAAUGUAGGGCAAGUUCAUAGACCAGGACAGUGUGAGUACAAGAGAACUGUACCUGGUCACACUGAGGAAGUUUCCUUCUUUUAGGGUAUUAGAAUUUUGCAUGCAAGCACUGGUUUUAUUGGGUAUUCAUCUCGGAACCUGUUUGUGUAACGUGAUUUACCAGUGGAUGUUUUCUGAGCACUCUAGAGGGUAAUGCCAGUCAUUUCUUCCUUUGGUCUCAGGGGGCUUUGUUGGGCUCUCACCCACCAAAGGCAGAGGCAUUUUUUGUAUAAGAGUCACAUAGGGGCUGGCGCUGCGGCUCAAUAGGCUAAUCCUCCGCCUAGUGGCGCCGGCACACCGGGUUCUAGUCCUGGUUGGGGCACUGGAUUCUGUCCCGGUUGCCCCUCUUCCAGGCCGGCUCUCUGCUGUGGUCAGGGAGUGCAGUGGAGGAUGGCCCAAGUGCUUGGGCCCCUGCACCCCAUGGGAGAUCAGGAGAAGCACCUGGCUCCUGCCAUCGGAUCAGCACGGUGUGCUGGCUGCAGCGGGCCGGCCGCAGCGGCCAUUGGAGGGUGAACCAAUGGCAAAAGGAAGACCUUUCUCUCUGUCUCUCUCUCUCUCACUGUCCACUCUGCCUGUCAAAAAAAAAAAAAAAAAAAGAAAGAGUGAGUCACAUAGGAAAGAUUUUUGAAAGGAAAAUCUGUGCCUCCAUGAUGGAUGGCAGUAAGACAACAUGGAUUUGUCUGCAGCGUUUCUCUUAAACAAUAGGAGAUAGAGCACAUGUGUUUCAUCUUCUCUAGAUAUUCAGAAACUCAGUGUUUAAUGACACAGACAAAUUCUGGGGACAGGGGUAUGACAACAACGCAAAACCAGAGAAGCAAAGAACAUUUAGUGGAAGUCAUUUAUUUUGGAAGCAAUGAAGUCAUUUGUCUCCAUCCAGCAAUGUAUCUAUUGAUCUGUUUUUCUAUUGGGAUAAAAGAAAAGAAAUAAUCUUUGACUGAAGAAGAAAGAGAUCCCAUAUGCACAAAAGAUCUUACCUGCUCUGGCAGGUGUGCUGGCCUGUGGCUUUCUCCAGCAGCUUUGGAAGUUGAAUCAUCGGCAGAGGUGGGAAUGCUCCUGUACUUCAGGCUAUUUUUUGAAGCUCAGAUUGUCAUUGUGCAAACAAAGCAAGACAGAGAUCCCUCACCCUGGCAAGAUUUUGCAGUAUGCUUAUCUGAGUUGCAAGUCCAAUGUCAUUUUGAAUGUUGUUAUGCAUUUUUCUCCUAUACCACUUCCUUACUAUCUUUUAGGUCAAUAAAAUAUUCUGAAAUAUUAUAAAUACAUGAAAAAUACAGAAAUAAAUAAAAUGAACUGAAUUUACUCUCCUCUGCUUUUACAUGUUUCCUUUAUUUUAUUUUAAAUAAUGUAACAUUUCCUUGAUUUUAAAUAAUAUUUAAAACAGGUGUUCAUUUUAUUUUCCUCUCUUCUCCUAUUACCUUCUCAUCUUCCAUUCCUGUAGGUGACUCUUACUUGAUUUGUUGACUAUUCAUGCAUGCAUUUUUAAUAUUUUGUCUACACACACAUAUGUAUAUAUAUAUGUGUGUAUAUAUAUGUGUGUGUAUAUAUAUAUAUAUAUACAUAUAUAUGUAUAUAUACAGGCAGACAGAUCGUAUAAAUGCUUAAAAUUCUGGGCCAUGGGCCAAUGCUGAGUUGUACUAGGUCAAGCCUUUGCCUGAGGCACCCACAUGCGAUAUGGGCACCCGUUCAUGUUCAGGCUGCUCCUCUUCUGAUCCAGCUCUCUGCUAUGGCCUGGGAAAGUGGUAGAAAAUGGCCCAAGAGCUUCAGUCCUUGCACCCACAUGGGAGACCCGGAAGAAGCUCCUGGCUUCUGGUUUUGGAUAGCCCCAUCUUAGGCUGUUAUGGCCAUUUGGGGAGUGAAUCAGUGGGUGGAUGAUCUUGCUCUCUGUCUCUCCCUGUCUCUGUAAUUAUUUCAAAUAAAUAAACAAAAUAGUAAAAUAAGGAGUAAAAUAAUACUCUGGAUUGUGUUAUGUGUCACUCUGUAACUUACAGUUUUUGAUGAAUGUGCUUUUGAAAGUUGGUUAUUAUAAGUUAUACAUAACUAAUAUUUGAAUAGCUUUGCUAUAUGAGAGCAUCAUAUGGAAAAUAGACAAAAAUAAAAGUUGAUUUCAGUGCAAAAAGUUUUGAAAUCAUGCAAAUGAGGGGUCCUUAAAAAUUCAUGAGAAUUUAUAUUGUAAAUAAGCUAUGCAUUGAGUUAAAAUAAAAUUUUGCUCCAGAGUAAACUUACUUUAAAUUCAGUUUCCAUGAACUUUAAUAAAAAGGUUUAUUAAUUUAUUAUUUUUUGCUUAUUUGAAAUGAAGAAGAGAGGGGGAAACAGAAAGAGAUAAAGAGAUAGUCUCUUGUGGGCUCACUUCCCAAAUGGCUACAAUGGCCAAGGCUGGGCCAAGCCAAAGUCAGGAAAUCCAUCUGUAUCUCCCACAUAGGUAGCAGGGUCCCAAAUUCAUGGGUCAUCUUCUGCUGCUUUUCCCAAGCAUAUUAGCAUGGAGCUGGAUCAGAAGCAGAGCAUCCCUUUUUGGAGCAUAGGGUUCAAGCACUAUCUGUUCUGCUUAGGGCUGGGCCAGGAGCCAAGAGCUUCUUCCUGUUUGCCCACAUGGUUUUAGGGACCCAAGCACUUGAGCCAUUUUCCACUGCUUUCCCAGGUGUAUUAUCAGGAAUCUGGAUUGGAGGUAGAGCAGCCAGUACUGGAACCAGCCCCUGCCAGCACUGCAGGUGGAGGCUUAACUUUCUGUGCCACAGCACUGUCCCUAAUAAAUCUUUUUUAAAAAAGAAAAAAUGUGUCUUAAACCUAAAAUAUUGACAAUUAUGGAUAAAUUAAAAUCUCUAUGAUUCUAUAAUUUGAGUGUGUUGGCCAUAUCAAUCUUAUAACUCUGUCAAAUUCUGCUCUGGCAUUGGUAUGAUGGACUAGCCAUGACUCAUGGAGCUUAUCUGGUCUCCUUCCCUUAAAGUAGUGUGGCAUCUCUUAGCUCAUGGAUCACCAUGUCACACUGUUUAUCCUCAGCUUCAAUUUUCUUAUUUUCUCAUUGAUCUCUUUGGAAACAAACAAACAAAAAAACAUGAGAAAGUGAACUAGACCAAAAAUUAGCACUUUUGGAGUGGUAGAAUAAAAUUUAAGUCACACUUUAGCCAAUAAUUGUUAGCCCUCUGAGCUUGAGUAAGCAAAUUAGCUUACUUUCCUCAUAUAGUAAAAGGGACCGACAAUGCCAUCUGUGUUAUAAGGUUAUCAUGAGCAUUAAGAAACAAUAUGCAUAUGAAAGUUCCCAGUUCUCUACCUGGUACACCGUUGAGGCUCAAAACAUCAUAUGUUCUCUUCCUUUUUCCUUUCAGAAAGGCAAUUGUAUGUCAGAGGCAUUAUCUCCUCAACCAGCCAUGUUGAGGGCUGUAAUUGACUGGAAGACUCCUGCUAGACAAGUCUUCACUAAUUUUUGUGCCUCUUGCACUAGCUAGUCUUCUGGGUAAGCCAGGCAUUUGUUUCCUUAAUUGUUCUAUUUCCUGAGAUUUCUCUUCAGUCUGGAAUUAAUAGAUAAGUCAGAUUCUCUUGUGCCGUGUACUCGUCCUCCUGGAUGUCCUUCUGACCCAUUAUGUUUCUUUCCCGGCACUUACUCUCUAAUUUCUUGUUCCUUUUGAGCGAUCUGAGUUCCCUUGAAAAUAGCCUCCAAAGCACCAUUGCUGAGAGCUGAACACAGCUCUUAGCCUUUGGUGAGAAAUAAAGAUCCAAUUGUCAUGGGGUGAAAAUCCUCUCUCCUGUGGAUAUAUUCUGUACUGUUUUAUCUUUUUGUUAAAGGAAAGAAUACACUGAAUAGCAAAAAUCCUUGUUUUAAGUGGAAGAUUUACUAUGAAUGAUCAAGGACAUGUACAAGUUUAGACUCUUUGCAAGUGCAAAGUAUGCCUGUUGUAUUAUCUUUCCUAGUGACAAUUAUAUCUAAGUUUAAUUGUCUAGAUGGCUUAGGGCACAUUCUGUGACAACAAUGUGAUUAAAAAAUUCAAAAUGGCUUAUAUUUUCCAGGAUCCUGAAUACUGAUGAAAAUAUGCAUUCUAGAGUUUAUCUUACCCUUGAUUAAAUUUACCAACAACAUCAUUUAUUCUUUAAUUAAACUCCUGUUUGUUGAUUAUCUACUUCACACCAGACACCAUGAGAGGUUACAAGGAAACAUAAGUCUGCAUGAAGAAUGGUGUCCCACACAGGAAACCCAGGUUGUAUUCCUGGUACCCAGCUUCGUCCUCAUUCAGCCCCUGGUGUUACAGACAUUUGGGGAGGAAACCAGCGGAUGGAAGAUAUCUGCAGAGUCCAGGACCAUGGAUAGGAAAAUGAAUUUGUGAGGAAAGGUGACAAGAAGCUUCUGGAAGGUGA